rnacentral:lncRNA from 10 species
AAGAAAAAAGAAAAAUAGAAAUAGAUGUAUAACUUUUUAAUCUGUUAAAGGGUAGUUACUAGAAAAAUAGAAACAGAUGUAUAACUUCUUUAAUCUGUUCCUAAACUACUGGAGGAACAAUAAUAAAAUAACCACUCCUCAAAGGACAAGAAAUAAAGCAUGAAACUAUCCGUGGCUAGGUGUGGUGGCAUACAUCUGUAAUCCCAGCUACUCAGGAGGCUGAGGCAUGCGAAUUGCUUGAAUCCAGGAGGUGAAGGUUGCAGUGAGCCAAGAUCGAGCUACCGCACUCCAUUCUGGGUGACAGAGAGAGACUCUGUCUCAAAAAAAAAAAAAAAAGAAAAAAGAAAGAAUAUAUGUAUCAAUUAGUGUCAUACCAGCUGAGAGUUACAGACAACUUGAUUCCCUGUGGCUUACAGAAAGAAGUGACUUGACUUUCUCGUGUUACAGAAAAGUUCAGACACGCCUGGCAGCAGACAAGGCUUGGAGCAGGGGUUUAAACAGUGCUCACAGGACUGAGUCUGUCCUUGUGUGGAGGCUGCCUUCCUCCACACUGCUCUCAUCCUCAGGCCCUACACGGAGGCAGGUUACCUCCAUCAGCUACUUCUGUCUUCCCAGUUCCAGUCCAGUGGGAAAGGGCCACCCUUCUACUAACAGUUCCACCAAAUGCUCAUUGUCCCUCAUCAGCCUGAUGGGCUUAUGCGUGCAGGGGGACACAGGCUGUGAUUAGCCAAGCCCUGAGCCACCUGCCCAUCCUAGAAUCAGGAAGGAAGUUGGAGUUGAGAGUGGCUUAAGAAGGAACAUAGCAGCCAGGCGUGGUGGCUCACGCC